rnacentral:tmRNA from 7 species
GGGGCCUUAAUGGUUUCGACAGGUUGGCGAACGCUGCCCCGUGAUUCAGGUCGAGAGUGAGUCUUCUCUCGUUAAUACUGGACUCAAAAAAAAGUAACUGCGAAAAACAACAUCGUAGCAUUCGCUCGUCAGGCAGCUGUCGUUGCCUAAAAACCUCAUCUUAGGUUUCUGAGCGUCUGUAGUCUGACUCCGUUAAGGGCUACAGAACAACCCCAACGGAUGCGAUAGCAAGUCGUCUCUGGUAGAUUUGCUAGCUAAGACCUCAUCAGAGAAUCCUGUCAUCCGGGAUAAUGGAUGGUUCCCGCCUUGAGGGUUAGAUAGGCUAAACCUGUGAAUGAGCGAUAGGUUAAUACCCAAUUUGGACACGGGUUCGAUUCCCGUAGGCUCCACUU